GAGCGGACUGAGCUGUCGUACUGAGGCUCCCCUUGGUCUGUUUCCACGGAUUAGAUCCUGCCACUGCUAACAGGGGGUCAGGCAGCAUCUCCUUGACUUUCACUGCAAGAUCUGGCAACUUCCAAAGAAACUUUCCCCAGCUCACCACUGUUAGAUGAUGGGGCUGCAGUGCUAACAAUUCCAACCAUUUAUUUGGGCAUAUGAAUUACACCAGUGUACCAUUGACCAAGCUGGAACUAAUACUGAAUUCAAAAGCGUAAAAGGCAGCUCUUACUUUCUCCCUUUAUGGAGAGCAACUUAGCAGUUUGCAAAGCAUUUUGUUCAUUGAUGUCUGUGUCCAGGUUUGUGUCAGCAUUGCCACGGCUGGCUGCAGGUCUGGGUGAGCUCACGUGCUGCUCCAGGGCUCUUAUUCUUCUUUGAAGCUAAGCUUGUUCUUCACCUUCUGAGCCAUGUAAGCAGCUGUGAGGACAGAGCAGGUCACAGUGAAGACACAAAGGGUGGAGAAGUUGUGUGCCAAAUCACCCUGAAGCAUAGAAUAGAUCUGCCUCCUGGACUCAUAGUCCAACACCACCGCCUCAAUCUGUGCCAGCGUGCAGAGCACCAAGCACACGUGAAAGAUCUGAUGGCUCUGCCCAAAGAAGUGACAUUUCCCAGGGAACCACUUCUCGGGGUAAGGAUGUGAGAAAAAAAAGGCACCAACAAGGAAAAACAGCACCUGACACUUGUGAUACAGAAGGGCUGGGUCAGCCUGUUCAGAGGGCGGCGCGGUGAAGAUGCGGUGCACCACGGGGCUGAUGUCCAGCACGUACGCCAGACUUGAGGGCAGCUCCUGGCAGAGACGGCUCAGCAGGCAAGGGGACUGGUGGUACUGGUACUUGGCAUAGCAGGAACCAGCACAGGACAGCCAUGCUAACAAGACAGCCAUCGGCAUGUAAAAGCCCUUGAUCUUCUCGUGCCAGCUUGGCUCAGUGGUGUAGUAGUAGUGCCCUAGAGCACUGCCGUACUGGUAAAUGGCAACCCCCACGUAGUCCAUGAAGAAGAAACUGUAGUGACAGAACUCGGAUUUGGCCUGCAGAAGGUGGGCAAGGCUGCUGAAUGUCAGGUAGGUGAUGGAUGCCACAUUAAUGAUGAGGAGGGGUUGGGCAUGCAAGUCCUGCCCAAAAUCUACCCGCUGUGAGAGCUGCUGGAAUCGCAGCAGCAGGAUCAGUGCUGCCACCAGAUGGGUCCAGACAUUGAUGGCCUCAUUGUGCUGCUGGAAGAGUGUAGAGAAGUAAUAACGCCAGGUCUGCUGUACCGGCCGGUAGCCACUGUCGAUGUAGGGCUUCCAGAAGACUUUUGGCACCUCAGAACUGCUGACAGUGGAGGGAGAGAGGGGGGCCAGCAGCUGAGGGACCUGCCAUACGUAAAUGAAGAGGCGGCUAAGCUUUUCAAUGACAACCGUUGCCAUGAUGCAGCCAAACUCUGGCUCCCACAGUGCAAAACAACCUUUGGAACAGAAAGAAAGUGACUUUACAAAAAAAAAAAAACCCAAAACAACCCACCAACAAGCAAAGGCCAUUUGAAUGCUUUGUCUUUUUUUUUUUCCACAGAUGUGUAAAAUCAUGUAUGACAGGACAAUGGUUUCAUUAUAGCUGAAGUAAAAGAAUCACCAAAAACAGUAAUAGGAAGAGUGUCCCAUGUUGCUUGGCUGUAAUUAACACACCAGGACGCAUCAGUUCCUAGCCUAUCCCUUCCCAGAAAUUUGGGAACUGCAACACAAACUAAACUUCCUAGACUUCCUGCUCCAGGAAUGGCUGAUUUUUCCAUCUUGUAAACUGUUUGCAGCAUCUGGCUUUACAAACAAGCAGCAGCUGUGGCCCCACAAGAAGUGGGCAACCUGUUCUGCCUCACAAGAGGCACAUCUGAGAACAGAAAUAACCGUAAUGCCAAGAACAGCAGCUGUAACUUCUGCAUUUAGAGUUUUUACCAUCUUUUUUCAGCUUCUGAUUUUCUGUGCAGCUUUGCAGAAAACUGAUGCAGCUCAAGUGAGUUCGCCCUGUUGCAUCACUACUGUCCAGCAGUCUACUCUGUGAGCAAGCAUUUCCAUAUUUACAUUUUUGGAGCUGCUGUCCUUUGCACAGCAGCCUUAGAAACACACGCACCAGAAUGCAUUUGAAAUGAGAUUUCCCUCCCUAAAGAGGUAGGUAAAGACCUGCUCUUGCUUAGACAAGUUCUGAAGAAAACAGCUUGACUCCCCUCCAGCUUCAGUGCUCUGGGACAGCUCAGACAGGAAAAGCUCUUCAAAGUCUGGAAACAGGAGGAGGAGAGGAUGGGACAGUUUCUUUUUAAAACCUCACUAACAUGCUCCUCAAAAUGGAGUAGAUAGUCUGUAACGCAUACCUGCCUAAAGCAGAGGAGCACAGAUGCAGAUAAAACCAGGCUGGCUGCUUGUCAGCUUCCCUCCUGAACACCCUUUUCCCAUUGCACCUGGUUGAAGAGGCUCUGUGUCAAAAAGGAUGAGCCUGGCUCAGGCUGGUAGCUCGCAGAGGGCGAUCCUGACCUGUGCCUGGCCCCCUAAACCCUCCUGCAGCAUGUGCAGGCAGCCAGUGAAAAAUUAACUCCAUAAACCUCUUCUGGACUUGCCGCUACCGCACUGAAGUGAAACAGCCUGGAGUCCUGCUGGGCAAAAGCAGAACUUCACAGACUUAGCUAUUUUGACUGAAAUUCAAUGAGCAGUUUGUAAGAAAACGCUGCCCUUCCGCCACCCGGAGAACUUGCCUCUGUGCUGGGGCUGCCGCUGCCCACGAGGAUGCUGAGGACGCAGAGAGGGGGCUCAGCUCCGGACCGUGCCUGACCCCGUCACAGCCACCAGAAAACAAAUUCCUCCGGGAAAGGCCCCCCUGGCUCUGCGCGGGGAGGCGUGGCGGGAAAAGCUGCACCCGCAGCCAAGCACGGGGCAGGAAAGGGAGCAGUGUUUACUUUGGGUCUUCCAAAACUUGUUGGAGCAGGAUUUAAUUUGAAAGCUCUUCCAAGCAAUGAAGCCUUGAGCAAUACUCAGUUAUGAACAGAGCACAUCCUGUGCAGCGCUGGAAGUCGCUCAUCUGGCCUGUACCCCGAAUAAUAACCUCCACAUACCUACAAGACAUCAACAAGGUUGCCUCACAGUCCAGUUAUUUCCUUCCUCAAGCAGCAUCUAUCCUGCUGAAUUUUCUCUUCCUGACUGCUGACCUGCACGUUGCCUCUGUGCACACGCGAUUUUACCUCCGAAAGGACAAAGAGCCCCCAUCUCAUCCCCACCCCUCAGAACCACCACCCGCGGCAGCUCGGAGGCCUCAGACCACGCUUAGAGCCCGGCACCAAUCUCCUGGUGAGCGUCAUAUAAAGCAGAACCAAGACAAGGGAACAGAAGGCUCCGAGUCGAGAUCUGACAGCUUUGGCAAGUCACAAACCUCCCAGCUUCCAUCUCUGAACGCCAUUUGGGAGCUGGCAGUGUUGUCAUCCUCCUCCCCCAGCCCUUGCAAAGAUGGAGGAAAAUCCACAUGCAAAAUUUGGGACACUUGGUGUCUUCUCAGCAGGGUAAAGAAAAACCACAUUAAAUUACAGAACUGGGAUUUCUUUGAUUGCAAAUUAUACCUGACCUUGCGCAUGGGAGCUGAUCGGGAAUUACUCAAACCCCCAUUAGAGGUGGAUUGUGACCUGUCUCCGUGUGCUUAGCUCACAUGUUGCGAAGUGCCCGCAGCAGCCCCGACCUGCACUGUGCCCCUGCUGCUGGUGGAUGGCCACUCCCAAAAGCUGAAGCCAGAUGCUGCACACCACGACAAGGAGCAUGCACGCUGCCCAGCACCUCUUGUUAAAAAGGUUCCAUGCUACAGUCACCUGAGUUACACCAAGAGUCAGUAUGCACAAAAGGCAGAUGGCCGAAGAACAGCACAAAUCUGCUGCAAGGUAAUCCAAGCACAUCGGCCUCUGUACCCUAAACACCAAAGAAAGGGCUUCUCCAAGGAGACCCACCCUUGUUGUGCACACUCUUAAAACCAAGGAUUUUGCACCUAAGGAAAAAAAAUAAUCCUACCUUGAGGAAGGUUAAUAUUGUGACAGAAUUGCAUAAAGCUUUCAAAACAGAUUAUUUUAAACACUUGCUCUGUUUUUUGCUGAUCUGACGUCUAUUUCCAUGGAAACCACAUCUAGCCACAGAACUGCUAGAACUGGGAGAGGUUUCUGCCGGAGUGGCUUGCUGGGUAUGAGAAGAGCCGUUUUCCAGCAGUGUGGUAGAACCGUUUUGUGAGCUUGAAGAGAUUUCAGAUUCAAAAUGGUCUGUUUGCUUGGUCCUUCAGGGUCUUACCCAGUACACUCAGGGGAUUCCUGGCUCAGUACCAGUGGUAUAUGCAGAUGUCACAUACAACACACAUGUUUUUAAAUGAAACAUCUUCAGUGCUUGGAUUGAAUUGCUUCAUCUUGCUGGAAGACAAAGCAGCCAAAAACUGUGGCACUAGCCCAUGUUUUACUUUAUCAUUUAUUAAUUAUCAUCUGUGUAGAUCAACAGUGUGUUGGAUGCUUUAAUAUAAUGCUUUUUAGUAAAAUCAAUGAUCUUAUCCUGGGAUGAUCUCAGGAUUUCCCAGAGAAAACAAGACUUCAUGGGCUCAGGGUUUUUUCUUCAGCACCUGUGUGACUGACUUUAGUCAGUCCUCAGCCCCUGGUGAGAUGAUGAUGAUGGACUAUAAUUUACCACUUUUGAAGAAGGAAUGCAGACUGAGAUAAAACUAUGAGUCACGCAGGGUCUGUUCUCAGGGCUGUCCAUUCUAUUUGCUGGGAUUCUCACGGGGAAAAAAACAAAAAAAAAUCAAAAGACCUGAAUGUAAUUUACCUUUCUUCGCAGAUCAGCUUUAAAACCAAAAACGUUUCUUUCAGAUAAGAACUCUCCCGUGGAGAAGGCAACAUGAUUUAUUGAUGCAAGGCACAGAACUGGGAAUCAGAUUUGGGAUCUAUUCUCUGCUCUGGCAUUUUCCAUCGCUUGUCACUUUGAGACUCUUUAGCAACCCUUUUACAAUACCUGCUACAACUGGUUUCAAUUUAUUCUGAAAUGUGUAUUAUUGCAAUACAAAGAGAAAUAACAGCUCUCAGCAGCUGGAAAGGCACGGAGACGGUCUCAUUUUUGGCCUCAUUGCAAGAGUGGUUUUAUUUUGGGAACAUUUCAUAAAACCCAGUUGUUUAUGUGGCAUUUAUUUUUGUCUGAUCUCAAGCAGGAUGGAGUAUAUGAAAAGCUUUUAUUUAAUUUAGAUUUGAUUUGUGUUUAUUGACACAUUUACUGUGAUUCUAAACAGACUCCCUUCAUCAAGCCUAGAAGCAUGUGGGUGUGAUAGGUUUUGUCUACUGGAUUCCUUAUCACCAACAAAAGCUUUUUGCUAUAGAUCCAUUUUUAAAAAAAAAAAAAAAAAAAAAAAAAAGAGAGCAAGCAGCAGCACAAGAAAUCUUCUCCAACAUGUCAAUAUUUAGCCACAAAACAAGGUUUGAGAAGGAAGAUACUACCUCAAUCCCAAAUCUAACCACAUCAGCCAGAUGAAUUUGUGCAUCUUGAGGAAAAUAAGGGACCACGGUAGAACUUGCAGAAGAUAUUCCUGGAGGACAUGAGGACAAAGGCUCUGUAAGUUAGGAAAAUGAGCUACUCCCUGGGUCAGUGGCUACAAUUUUCCGAGCCGAUGAUAACUGCACCCACUAAAAAUUGUUGCCCUCAUGCAACUCUCCCAGUCGUGGUCUCAUCAGGAGGACUCCUCGCAUGGGUGGAUUUAGGAUGUGACAUGAUCAGAUUUAGCAUAAAGAUGAAAGCGUCUCCUCUGAUGUGCUUAUCAAAACAUCCCACAAAGAGACUGACAUAAUUAGGUGACAACUCAGCCCACGGCAGCUUUUUUACUUGCAAAAAUAUUUAAUCUCCAAUAAGAAAAUGUGCUUUCUGAGUAUAAAAUUGCUACCCUUAAGCAUUUGUGGAGGAUGGACUGACAGAUUAUCUGUUAAACAGAGAAAGUUUGAAGGCACUGUGGUAUUAUCAGCAACCAUUUGCUAAGACUCGUAACAGACACUGCAUUAGCGAAGUUCACUUUAAAGCUAGAAAUGCAGUGUACUGUUUGACCUCAGCCAGUCCAUUUAAGUGAUUUAAUAAAUAACCUGCCAGAAAAGACAGUAAUUUGAAAGAAACUUGUUCUCAGAGGGGCUACAAGAUGUCUUUCUAUCUGUGUUCCUCAGUCUUUGUAUUAACCCUCAGAAGUUUCUCCUUCAUGCUGCAGCUUACCCGUCUUCAUGCUGGCUGUGCUGAUGUGCUGCUGCCCAACAAAGGUCUCGCAAGGAAAGACCGUGGCUGCAAAGGUCUUGCUGAUCUUCAGAUAAAAAGACAUUUUAAUCCAAAUACAGAUGAGCAGCCCAAGACUUUCAGAGAGUGUCUCCCUCAGAGUGAAAGCUCUUCCACAGGCAAGAAUAUUUAAGGUGAUUGAUACUUGUUUUCUGUAGGUGUUUAGAUUCUGUGAUUCUGUGAUUAGGCUGAUACUACAUUUAAGAAAAUGUUCCCUUUGGAACAAAUUUGCAGUUGACAAUGUGUUGUUGGAUUUAGGGUUUUUUGUUAAUCAGACAGGGCCUCUGGCUUCCAUUGCUGAUUUGGUUUUGAGAAAUUCACUUGAACUCCAUAAAAAGAGACAAGUAAAUCACAGAUGGUGAUUACGCCUGCAGCAAGAGAGAGGAAAAUUUUCAUUAAUUGCUUUGAUUUUGGGGCAAUAUAACCCUGAAAUGUCAUACCUCUUCAGCUGCAUUCAUAGGACAGCGUUGCAUGAUGUCCAAACACUAUCAUGUUGAGGGAUGACAAGAAAAAUUAUGUAAACUUCUCAUGAGCUGAAGACAAAGGCCCUGCAAGCACUCUGCUGUCCUUGCCAAAAAUUCUCCCAACACCCUGAAAUGGCGACAGACCCUCAAGGAACAGCAGCAGCUGCAGUACCUGCACAUAGGCACCUUCAUCUUGGCUGCAGACAGGACACUGAACCAGAUCUAGUGUGCCUUAGGUCCAGCCAGGGCAAAGGAACAGCAGAAUUCCCUUCCCAGCCUGCUGGUAGACCUUCUGACACCUGUUUCCUAAGCAAAUGAGGCUUUAUGUGAUCAAACUAUUUCUGUAUGUCUGACCAAGCUUCUCUUCCAGCUUUGUGAGCUAGUUACUCUCUGUCUCUCUGAUAAAUAUGGAUAAGAGCUCAGUGACAUGAAUUCCAAAACUUUUUUGAAAACAGAUGGCUGGGGAGAGACAAGAGUGAGCAAAAGGCUUCAGCACAAGCCCAACUAUUAUUAGAGACCCAGAGACUUUAUGCUGAGGAGACCUAUCACAGACACUCCCAACAGCGGGUGUAAAUUCUGAUGGUUGUUUUCUUCGUGGCACCAGCAGAGCAGUUGUGCUCUCCUGGCAGCUCCCUGACAGAUAUAGGGACAGAUCUAUGCGGAUGCUGGCUCCCAUCUCCGCUAUGUCCAGACACAUGCACAGUGACCUGUCCUUGAGAUCACUUUCCAUUCUUCCCCCGCUCCUUGCUCCCAUAGCUCCCAACUGAGCCAGCAGCCUUGACCCAUUUCUCUGCAUCCUCACUGCAUUUCCUUUUCUGCUCCCAAACAGAGCCCUCAAAUUUGCAUUUCCCAUAUGGAGCACCAAGAGCUUUGCUAUUCACAGCAGCCCGUAAACAACUCGCUGCUGAAGGUUCAAAAAUAACUGCGCUUCGCAGAGCUGCAUCGCCCAGCGACAGCAAGUGGCUGGGAGAGAAGCACUAAGAAAGGGUUUAUGGGGUUUUAAUUUGUGUGUGAGCCAACAGGAGAUGUACUAAUUAGAUUUCCAAAGUGUCAGAGUCAGCCAUUUCAGCUGGGAAGCAGCAAAGGAGGCAAUGUAAUUUUGACAACCACAUGGAAUAGCAAUGGAUAGAGAAGACAUAAAAUAUUCAAGAGCCGUGGAAGAUUCCAGUAAAGACAUUUGCUUUGGCUCUUUGUAAAUGAAGUGGGGAAAAAGAAAAGCUGGGUAUAGCACUAAUUAUUCCUCAGUUCUUAAUUAGUUCCUUGAAUUUAAAAUAUGGAUUCAGCUCUACCAGCAGCUCAGCAAACCUAUUGUGCUAUUAAGACCUUCCUGGCCUGACAGAGUUAAAAAUACUUCCACUCUUUCAAGACAAAAAUGUAGCUUAAAGUGUCACGAUGGGAGGAGUUCAGGGAUGGAAAUCCUCUUAAAGGAAUACAACUUCCCUGAUGUCAAAUAAAUAAUAUAAAUGAGCUUGUAAGAGCCCCCAAACUGAGCCUUUUCCCACUAAAUUUAAAAAUAAUACCCAGUGCAGAGCUCUCGGGCCGCUUGCUGUCAAAGCAGGUUCACUAACAGCAUCGGUGUGCAACCAAAUGGUAACAGGUUUUACUUAUUUCUCACAGAGAUCCGCUGCCUGGGGAGUGGGAGCAUUCACCAUCCUCAAGUGUAUUCAGAUCAAAAGGUGGAAUUCUAAUGUGUUCUCCCCCUCCUGGCACGCAACCCCACACUCAGGUGAUGCAGGAGAUCCCAACCUGCCCGGUGCAGUAGCUACAACUCAUUUUUCCAGGACAAUAUCUCCAACUGUUCUUUACGGACGAGAUCUGUCAGACACCAUAGGCAGCAUAAAACCUGUGUCUUCCUACAGGACCUGUGAGCCAAGGAAACAAGUCUGGGGUUUUUUUUAGGACACCUUUCAGUUCAACGAGGAGGUCCAGAGAUAUGCCUUCACACUUGAGAGCCUCUCAGGCAGUUUUCCUCCCACCUCCACCGACAAUUCAGCAUCAAAAUGGGUUAAUUCCUGCUCUCCUCCCCCUGCCCCACCCACUGCCUGUAACCACUCAGCAAUACCAGCAUGGAGACAAUACUUGUACUUCACCUUUGUUUCAUCCCUUUCCCCCUACUAAUUUGAGUUCAUACUAGAUCAAUACAUACAUUAAAAGAAAAAAAGACCAGACACAUCCACUGCAGCUGUGGAAACGAAACGGGCAAACAAAAGCAGCCUUUCUGGAGGGAAACACAUCUGUCUUUUAUGCAAUAAACCAGCAAAACUGCUGCCCUGUGCUAAA